rnacentral:rRNA from 1 species
CCUUGAUCCAGAAUGCCGCGUGAAAUGAUGAAGCCCUAAGGUUUGUAAAAUUCUUUCGGGUGGGACGAUGAUGCCGGUACCACCAGAAGAAGCCCCGGCAAACUUCGUGCCAGCAGCCGCGGUAAUACGAAGGGGGCGAGCGUUGUUCGGAAUUACUGGGCGUAAAGCACACGCAGGCGGCUCGUUAAAUAAGGAGUGAAAGCCCUGGGCUCAACCCGGGAAUUGCUCUUUAGACUGACGAGCUUGAAUCCGGAAGAGGGUAGUGGAAUUCCCAGUGUAGAGGUGAAAUUCGUAGAUAUUGGGAAGAACACCAGUGGCGAAGGCGACUGCCUGGUCCGGCAUUGACGCUCAUGUGCGAAAGCGUGGGGAGCAAACAGGAUUAGAUACCCUGGUAGUCCACGCCGUAAACGAUGAGUGCUAGUUGUUGGGGUGCAUGCACCUCAGUGACGCAGCUAACGCAUUAAGCACUCCGCCUGGGGAGUACGGUCGCUUGUUUGAAACUCAAAGGAAUUGACGGGGGACCGCACAAGCGGUGGAGCAAGUGGUUUUAUUAGAUGCCACGCACAGAACCUUACCGACCCUUGACAUGGGAUCUAUGGUCGUCAGUGAUGACUACUCCAAAUUGAGGGUGGAAAGAAACCUGAUAAAAGGG